AGAGUUUGAUCCUGGCUCAGGAUGAACGCUGGCGGUCUGCUUAACACAUGCAAGUCGAACGGAGUGCUUCGGCACUUAGUGGCGGACGGGUGAGUAACGCGUAAGGAUCUGCCCUUUGGACGGGGAUAACGACUGGAAACGGUCGCUAAGACCCGAUGUGCCGAGAGGUGAAAUAUUUAUAGCCAGAGGAUGAACUUGCGUCAGAUUAGCUAGUUGGUAGUGUAAUGGACUACCAAGGCGACGAUCUGUAGCUGGUCUGAGAGGAUGAUCAGCCACACUGGGACUGAGACACGGCCCAGACUCCUACGGGAGGCAGCAGUGGGGAAUUUUCCGCAAUGGGCGAAAGCCUGACGGAGCAAGACCGCGUGGGGGAAGAAGGUUUGUGGAUUGUAAACCCCUUUUGAUUGGGAAGAUGAUGACGGUACCAAUCGAAUCAGCCUCGGCUAACUCCGUGCCAGCAGCCGCGGUAAUACGGAGGAGGCAAGCGUUAUCCGGAAUUAUUGGGUGUAAAGCGUCCGUAGGUGGAUAUUCGUGUCAGUUGUUAAAGGAUGCGGCUUAACCGCAUAAAGGCGAUUGAAACUGGAUGUCUAGAGUGCGAUAGGGGCAAGGGGAAUUCCCAGUGUAGCGGUGAAAUGCGUAGAUAUUGGGAAGAACACCGGUGGCGAAAGCGCCUUGCUGGGUCUGCACUGACACUGAGGGACGAAAGCUAGGGGAGCGAAAGGGAUUAGAUACCCCUGUAGUCCUAGCUGUAAACGAUGGGUACUAGGCGUUGUCCGUAUCGACCCGGGCAGUGCCGUAGCUAACGCGUUAAGUACCCCGCCU
rnacentral:rRNA from 1 species